AGAAUCAACGCUGGCGGCGUGCCUAACACAUGCAAGUCGCACGAAGAAGGGUAGCAAUACCCUGAGUAACAGUGGCGCGACGGGUGAGUAACACGUGAAUAAUCUACCUCCGAGGUGGGAAUAACUGAGAGAAAUCUUAGCUAAUACCGCAUAAUACCCACGGGUCAAAGCAGCAAUGCGCUUGGAGAGGAGUUCGCGGCAGAUUAGUUAGUUGGCGGGGUAAUGGCCCACCAAGACGAUGAUCUGUA
rnacentral:rRNA from 1 species